GACGAACGCUGGCGGCGUGCCUAAUACAUGCAAGUCGAACGAAGCUGUUUUAACUGGUGCUUGCACCGACUUAAACAACUGAGUGGCGAACGGGUGAGUAACACGUGGGUAACCUGCCCCAAAGCGGGGGAUAACAUUUGGAAGCAGAUGCUAAUACCGCAUAACCACAGAAACCACAUGGUUUCUGUGUCAAAGAUGGUUUCGGCUAUCACUUUGGGAUGGACCCGCGGCGUAUUAGCUAGUUGGUAAGGUAAUGGCUUACCAAGGCAAUGAUACGUAGCCGAACUGAGAGGUUGAUCGGCCACAUUGGGACUGAGACACGGCCCAAACUCCUACGGGAGGCAGCAGUAGGGAAUCUUCCACAAUGGACGAAAGUCUGAUGGAGCAACGCCGCGUGAGUGAAGAAGGUUUUCGGAUCGUAAAACUCUGUUGUCAGAGAAGAACGUGUGCGAGAGUAACUGUUCGUGCAGUGACGGUAUCUGGCCAGAAAGCCACGGCUAACUACGAGCCAGCCGCCGCGGUAA
rnacentral:rRNA from 1 species